rnacentral:rRNA from 1 species
UACGGAGGGUGCAAACGUUGCUCGGAAUCAUUGGGCGUAAAGCGCACGUAGGCGGCCUGAUAAGUCGGGUGUGAAAGCCCUGGGCUCAACCCAGGAAGUGCACUCGAAACUGUCAGGCUUGAAUAUGGAAGAGGGUCGCGGAAUUCCCGGUGUAGAAGUGAAAUUCGUAGAUAUCGGGAGGAACACCAGUGGCGAAGGCGGCGACCUGGGCCAAUAUUGACGCUGAGGUGCGAAAGCGUGGGGAGCAAACAGG